AAGGCAGGAAAUGAGGCUGAUAACCGGUAUGUACCCAUUUGUUUGCAGCGCAUGCCCAGACACCGUUCAGGUUUCGCUGUUUGCAGGCUGCUGACUCCUUCAGGCCUGAAACUCUGCAAACCACUUUUCUGUUUUGCCAGCCGGCUCUCUGUUAGGCCCUGCCAACUGCAGGUGCUGGAGGAAGAUGCAAGGCCUGCGGAGGAAGGAUUCGCUCCCCCAACCUGCUUCCUCUUUCGGAGCAUGUCAUCCCAGGAGCAGCAGCAAUUCCUCUGGUAGCAGCAAUUGCAUCUAGAGCUUAACAACAACAACUCAAGAACUAUGGAGCAGAAAAUGAAAAACAAAAUAAAACAAAAAUCACAUCAAGGCAGAAGUGGACAUGUGAGAACCUAGAUUUUACGAAAUAUCAGGAGCUGCCACUGUCUCAAAUUGGGAACUGAACCCUCAACCGUCCACCAUUGGUCUGAGACUUAUUAUGAAGAUGGGCCAUUCUCUACUUCCCCUACCCUCAAAG